GCAUGCAGGGGCCAUUGUGACAUAUAGCCAUGCCAAUUGCCUAGGUGAAGUUUGUCUCCUCUCUUGCCUAAGCCCUUUCUACAGCGGGGAUUUAGAUGUAUCACCGAAACAAGCCUCCAGGUGAUGUGACUCUUCUUCCAGAGUCCUGCCCACAAGGAGGAUUGUGACAUUUCACUGGACCAGCACCCACUCAGACUCUGCCAAAAGGGGAUUAUUACAUACUGCAGAGCCCAGCACCCAGGGCACAGCACCCGGAUGAUAUUACUCUUCUGCCCGGGUUCUUCAUAAAAAGAAAAUUAUGGCACAUUUCAUAUUGCUGGGCCCAGCACCCUUAUGAUGUGACUCUUCUGCCUGUGCUGGAGCCACCGAAGGUUCUCUUUGAAUUCCAGCAUGAUGCAUCGAACCGUACCAUGACAUGGCUAGGACCCAACCUGGUACCAGAAAUGAAGAAAAUGACCCUACAGGACCCACAGCCCUGGACGCUGUGGCUUCCUUGGACAACACAGGCCCCAGACAUUAUGCUGAAGAAGCAGAAGGCUUAGCAAAUCCUGCUCCAAGCCGAAAUACCUGUCACUCCAAAUAAUUUGUUCCAUUUUUAUUCUCUCACUCUGCCUACAACUGGUACCUGCUACACUCUAUUGGGCUCAUCUCUUAAAUCCAUCUUUCUUCUGCCCUGUUACUUAGACAAACACCCACUUCCCAGCUUCUAACAACGUGACGGCUUGGCUAAAAGGGAUUAAUAUACCUUCAGUGGGGUUCCGUAGCAAUGGCACACAUCAGACUAAGGUACCAGGUCACUCCUUGAUUGGAAAAUAAUGUUGCUAAUAAUACUCAUGUUUGUCUUAUGUUAUUUACUAAUUCUAGGAUGAAAAGCCAGAAUACAAGCAGUGACCACCACACCUGACAGACCUCUUGCUGCACAUAUCUGUACUCUCCAAUUAACAAAACCUGAUGCUAAAAACAGAAAAGAGGGGAGAUGUAGGAGAUUGGUCAGGGUGGUGGGAAAAAUUGUAGAAAGAUGAAACCUUGGAAGGCUGGAAGGUUUUACAAAAGCUUCAGAAUAGGAUUUGGCUGAAGGCAGCCAGAUUCUCUUAUCCUGUGCCUUAAAGCUUAAGUUAGAUAACAAGGGGAUAUAAAGAAACUGAUCUAGGUAAGUUAGUUUACUUAGGCCUUGGAACCUGGCCUUUAAUCAUCUGCAGGACUGCUCUCCAGGGAGGGCGACUAUGUUAAUUAUCCACAAGUGUGUUAACUCAAAGCCUUUGUUAUUAAAUUUAUACUGAAUAAAUGCCUGCAGU
rnacentral:lncRNA from 1 species